rnacentral:rRNA from 1 species
GAUGAACGCUGGCGGCGUGCUUAACACAUGCAAGUCGAACGGAGAGCCAAUGACGGAGUUUUCGGACAACGGAUUUGGUUUCUUAGUGGCGGACGGGUGAGUAACGCGUGAGCAACCUGCCUUGGAGUGGGGAAUAACAGCUGGAAACAGUUGCUAAUACCGCAUAAUGCAGCGAGGGGACAUCCUCUUGCUGCCAAAGAUUUAUCGCUCUGAGAUGGACUCGCGUCUGAUUAGCUGGUUGGCGGGGUAACGGCCCACCAAGGCGACGAUCAGUAGCCGACCUGAGAGGGUGAUCGGCCACAUUGGGACUGAGACACGGCCCAA